GUACCAUGAUGUGGACACUUUAAGAGUAGCCUAUUGAAUCGCUCUCAUGCUUCACAGAACAGCUCAUCUUGUCUCUGAGUAAACUCUAAGAUUUCCCUGAAAAU
rfam:Citrus sinensis cultivar Ridge Pineapple sweet orange scaffold00112_contig_31, whole genome shotgun sequence.